AAAAGGGCUAUGGAAGAAUAUGAAAGAUGGCUGGAAAAGAAAGAGAGGAAAGAGCAGCUUGAGAAGAAGCAAAAGAAGCUCAAGGCUGUCCUUGCAGAUGAAGCACCUUCUCCCUGGAGCCCACCCGGCAAAGUCACAUAUUCAAGACAUUAUUGAACCGUCUGCCUUCUGCAGGGAAGGUUGAUCAACAAAGUGCUGACAAUGAAUAGUCAUUAUAUCAGUAACAGCUGAUUUCCACUAAAUCCAUGAUGAGGGUUGUGUCAUUUCUUUUUGGUUUUUUUCAUCUCUGGAGUUUAAAUAGAUCAGUUAUCCCUUUCCAUUACUUUCAGCAAAUAUGCUAAUUUCUUUAACUGCAUAGUUGAACUUUGUUUUGCUAAGUCCUAUGUUACUUCAUUCCUUUUUGGUGAAAGUGUGUUUUCAGGAUAUGUAAGACUGGACUCUGGCAUUCUGUCUCCCAGUAGGUAGCAGUUUACUUAGCAGAACAGUUCUGUUUAAGUCACUGGGAGCACACAUGACAGAAUCACUACUCAAGUGAGUGGUCAGUUGCUCAAACAUCAGGAAAAAAUAUUUUUAAAUCUUUCAUUCAAAAAAGCUUUACAGACAAUUUAUUUAUAAACAACUAAAUGGUAGUUAGGGGAUAAACACAGUAUCCAAGAAGAGGGUAAGUUAAAUACAAACUAGGGAGCUUUAUGUGCACAUUGUAAGGAUAGCUGAUGCAUCACUUGCUUAACAUGCAAUUUCCAAAAGAGAUGCAUCCUACAAGCAGUUUCGAUGCUUUGCUGCACUGUGGAAAAAAUGGAUGACUUAUUUGAACUGCUUCCCUUUCAUCUGCAAGUGCAGUAACCUGUGAGUUCAAACUACUGCUCAGUGGGUGUAGUUGAAAGGCAAAAGUAUCUCUGGUUCUUACGUGGUAGGUAGAAAUGAAAGUGGGCUUGAGGACCUAAGUGUGGAAGAACUGCUGUGUGAGGGGAGGCAAAAUGGUGAAGAUGUCUGUCUUGUGGAGGUAGAAGGAAGACAAUACUUGAGCAGUAUGAUAGGAGGAUGCCAUUUACGUACAUAAUCAAGAGACUAGCUACAGAGAACACAUUUACUUCUUAGCUUAUUUUACUAUAUGAAAUGUAAAAAUUGUCAGUUUAAACUGCAUGAUGCAAAAAAGUCUUUCAUGCAAAGAUGCAGUCAAAACACGCAGCCAUGUAAUGGCACAAAUGAAUUAAACUGGGGCCCACAUAAUGGAAAAUGGUUCAGGACUACAACUGUAGCUAUUAAUCCCUUUUCAGGUCCUCAUAUAUAUGCCUUUUUCCUGUUUCCCACAGGAAAGAGCUAUUUUAGAAGUGUAUUUUGCAGUUCACACAAAAUCUUAAAUAAAAUAUGCAAGAGCAGAACAGUGUUACUCUUAUGAGGCAGCCUUUGACACUGAAAAUGAUUUCUUAGGACUUAGAGUUCUGUGGUAGUUUUAUGUGAUCAAAUAAACCCUUCCCAAACAUGUUUUCAUUAUUGCUAAUGAGCUAGUUGCUGUAGAAAGUUACUAAAAUUCCUUCAGUCUUUUCAUGGCUAUUUGCCUCACUAUUUGGAACCAGCAGCAAAGCUACAGAGCUAUUAUUCUGAAGUGUCUUGUUUGCCUACUGUCUAAAUUCAAGCUGUUGCUUAUGUAUAUAUUUCCCUAUUUGAAUUUUAAUAACCACUCCAGAUGUGUUCCUCAAUAUGUAUAAAAAAAUCUGUCCCUUAAAUUACAGAUUUAUUUUCUCAAAUGAGUGUACUUCCCAUAGAAGCUUUCAAGAAGUGGAGAACAUACCCAGCCAGAGCAGCUUCAGUGACCAGCCAAAGAGGAAGGGUAACAUUACAGAUACCAGCAGGAGAGGUAGCAGAAUUACAGUACUGGCAGGAUCCAACAGGACUUCUGCCAACUCAAAAUUAACCUAUCCACAUUUUCUGAAGAAAGUUGAACAAAUAUGGGUGUUGAGACUGGAGCAGCCAUGUGCAUCAUCCAUCCACUAAGCUCCUAGCACUAGAAGCCUUAAAUUCAGGUUUAGUGCAUCAGGACACUUUGCUGAAAUUUCAUGGGAAGAUGAAAGGUAUAGCAGACAGCAGAAAUCAAUGUACAACACUCAACAGAUCGGGAGAGUCUGAAGCAAGGCAUGCAGUCGUGCAUGAAACUUGGAAUGCCAAGUUAUUGGAUCUUCACUUUUGUGAACCACAGCUAGAGCAAGUAAGGCAGGUCCCUGUGCUGACAGGCUUAUAGUUGAGACUUGCAGGUGCAAGUGAAAAUAAUAGUAAAGGUAGUGGCAAAGCUGCAGAAGGGGUUGUCGCAUGCCUAUUCCUAAACUGGAUAAUGCAUCCUUAUUCUUUCAGCCUUUAAAUGAUAGGAUAGAAAAUUUGACAGAAGGCGUAAGUGGGAAGAUGCUGGUCAUGAGAUGCUGAUCAUUCAGAGGAGUGAGAUACCUAAAACUCACAUAAAUUCACACAUCUUCAGUUAGAAAAAGAUGCUGAAGAUCUGUAGACAUGCAAAAGCAGUUGAUAGAACUGUUUUAUAAAAAAUUUUGGGAGCUUUGUCUAAUUUCACACUGAAAACUUGGACAUGUUACACAUGAUGCAAACCUCGCAGAAAAGAGACCUGAGAAAUGCCAACGUAUAUGUUAACAUUAAAAAAGUGCAUGUAUCCAUUUGAGUAAAUCCUAUUAAUAUAUUUGACAGAGGGAAAAUAUUUUGGUAUUUAAUAAAGUAUAUUUUAGUACA